rnacentral:rRNA from 1 species
UACGAAGGGGGCUAGCGUUGCUCGGAAUUACUGGGCGUAAAGGGCGCGUAGGCGGACAGUUUAGUCAGAGGUGAAAGCCCAGGGCUCAACCUUGGAAUUGCCUUUGAUACUGGCUGUCUUGAGUUCGGGAGAGGUGAGUGGAAUGCCGAGUGUAGAGGUGAAAUUCGUAGAUAUUCGGAAGAACACCAGUGGCGAAGGCGACACACUGGCCCGUUACUGACGCUGAGGCGCGAAAGCGUGGGGAGCAAACAGG